rnacentral:lncRNA from 1 species
GAGCGAAGGUCGCCACAGGUCGGCUUCACGUCAGGCCUUCCUGGGAAUGGUGGCCCCCCACCCCCCAUCCUUCCGGACUCGGCGGUGCGCAGAGCAGGGGCCGCCGCGUCCUCCUCUCCCCUGCCUCGUCUUGGCCACGAAGAGCCCGGGGCCUUACCGAGACGGCAAGGAUCUGUUAGGGGAACUCUCCGCCAGAGAACGGCGGGGUGGAACGGCCCAGGUCGGGGCGACGACGGGACGCUCCGCAGGCCGCAACCUGGGCUUUCCCUCCAACCACGGCCGCCAGCGCACGGUGGGCGCCCCAGGCCCAGCACUGAGACGGUCCCACGUACUUCGCACAGGACGGCGGGGGGUCGGCCGGGUUCUUCCGCGACACGUCCCGCCGUGAGGGCCCGGGGAGGGCCGGAGACCCCAGGGCGGAGGAGGGCCGGAGCUCCCGGGCCUGCCGCCCCUCCCCCACACCAAGCCAGCCACCCCGCCCGCGCGCCCCCGGAGCCGGCCGACCGCCCCCCACGAGCGGACCCCCGCCCCUUCUGCGUCGGCCUGCAGCUCGCGCCCCCCGCGACGACUGGGACUCAUGGCGAGGGACUCACCGCCGAAGAGUCGCGAACAAGCGCCUACCGACCGCGCCGCGGACCCGCCCAGUGCCCGACGUCCGCGGGCGCCUCGCCCUGCCCCGCCCCACCCCGUACGCGGAUGGCGUCAUCACGUAGACCCGCCCCCUUGCCAACGCUUUCCUCGCCCCGGCGCGACCCGGCCUUCCUCCCCUCCCCCAUUCGCCGGCUUCCGAGUGCGCAGGCGCAGGCCCGUCCGCGUUUUCCGUCUCUGCGCAGGCGCCGUGCCCCUCCCACGGCGGUUGGCCAUAUAGAGGCUGGGGGUGGGGGGGGGAGGUCAAGCGUAGCCUCUUCUCCUUUACCAAGAUGGCGGCUUGUCCCUGUUUCGCCACAGUUCCUACCUUAUGAGCUUGAUUUCCUUACGCUGAUAAGAGUGGAACAGACCCGACCACCACACUCGGUGUGGGAGAGCAAACCGUGCGAAACACGCCCAUCGCUCAGCGCCAACCUCUCACAGGAUCACAGGGCCUCUGAGCAAGGGUCAGGCCUGAGUGGCCCCCACAGUGUCAGAGGUGUCCUGUGGGCCAGUGUUCUUCCUGACCCCCAUCAGCACGACUCCACUGAGUCCCGUCAGGUCAUUAGCUAA